rnacentral:rRNA from 1 species
GUCCAGACUCCUACGGGAGGCAGCAGUGGGGAAUAUUGGGCAAUGGGCGCAAGCCUGACCCAGCAACGCCGCGUGAAGGAAGAAGGCUUUCGGGUUGUAAACUUCUUUUAUUCGGGACGAAGAAAGUGACGGUACCGAAUGAAUAAGCCACGGCUAACUACGUGCCAGCAGACGCGGUAAUACGUAGGUGGCAAGCGUUAUCCGGAUUUAUUGGGUGUAAAGGGCGUGUAGGCGGGAAUGCAAGUCAGAUGUGAAAACUCAGGGCUCAACCCUGAGCCUGCAUUUGAAACUGUUGGUCUUGAGUAUCGGAGAGGCAGGCGGAAUUCCUAGUGUAGCGGUGAAAUGCGUAGAUAUUAGGAGGAACAACAGUGGCGAAGGCGGCCUGCUGGACGACAACUGACGGUGAGGCGCGAAAGCGUGGGGAGCAAACAGGAUUAGAUACCCUAGUA